rnacentral:rRNA from 1 species
UAGGGAAUAUUAGUAAUGGGCGAAAGCCUGAACUAGCAACGCCGCGUGUGCGAAGAAGGCCUUCGGGUUGUAAAGCACUUUUUGAGAGGAUGAGGAAGGACGGUACUCUCAGAAUAAGUCUCGGCUAACUACGUGCCAGCAGCCGCGGUAACACGUAGGAGGCAAACGUUAUCCGGAUUUACUGGGCGUAAAGCGCGUGUAGGUGGUUUUGUAAGUAGGGCGUGAAAGCUCCUGGCUCAACUGGGAGAGGCCGUUCUAAACUGCCGAACUAGAGGAUGGUAGAGGGAGGUGGAAUUCCGGGUGUAGCGGUGGAAUGCGCAGAUAUCCGGAGGAACACCAGUGGCGAAAGCGGCCUCCUGGACCAUUCCUGACACUCAGACGCGAAAGCUAGGGUAGCGAACGG